ensembl:lncRNA
GUUUGACUAUACUGGGUCAUGUGGCUAUCCCUGGAACAAUCACAAGGGCCAGGUAGGUAGUGUAUUCUGAUUGCCUCCCCUGGAUCAAGUGGCUAGCCCUGGACUAAUCAUGAUGGCUACGUAGUCGGUGAAUUCUGAUUCACUAUCCUGGAUCAUGUGACUACACUUGGAUGAAUCACCAUGGCAAGGUCAUGUGCCUAUCCCUGGAGUAAUCACCAUGGCCACUUAGUUGGUGAAUUCUUAUUGGCUAAUCUGGAUCAUGUGUCCACCAUUGGACCAAUCACCAUGGCAAGGGAGGAAGUGUAUUCUGAUUGGCUCCCCAGGGUCAUGUGCUUAGCUGUGAACCAAUCGCCAGGGCCAGGUAGCUAGUGUAUUCUGAUUGGCUCUCUUGGGUCAUGUGGCUAGCCCUGGACCAGUCACUUUGGCUAGGUAGGCAGUGGAUUCUCAUUGGAUGUCCUGGGUCAUGUGGAUAGCCUUGGACCAAUGACCAGGGGCAGGAGGUAGUGGAUGCUGAUUGGCCCUCCUAGGUCACGUGCCUCUCCCUGGACUAAUCACCAUGGCCACAUAGUUGGUGAAUUCUGAUUGGCUCUCCUGGGUCAUGUGCCUAUCCCUGGACUAAUCACCAUGGCUAGGUAGGUAGUGUAUUCCUUUUGGCUCUCCUGGGUCAUGUGCCUAUUCCUGGACUAAUCACCAUGGCAAGGUAUGUAGUGCAUUCUGGUUGGCUCUCCUGGGUCAUGUGGCUAGCCCUAGACCUAUCACCUUGCCCACAUAGGUAGUGUAUUCUAUUGGCUGUCUUGGGUCAUAUGGCUAGUCCUGGACCCAUCACCUGACCAUGUAGGUAGUGUAUUCUGAUUGGAUAUCCUUGGUCAUUUGGCUAGCCCUGGACGAAUCACUGUGGCCAUGUAAUUGGUGAAUUCUCAUUGGCUAUCCUGGAUCAUGUGACUCCCCUUGGACCAAUCACCAUGGCAAGGUAGGCAGUGUAUUCUGAUUGGCUCCCAAGGGUCAUGUGCCUAGCCCUGGAUCAAUCACCAGCACCAAGUAGGUAGUGUAUUCUUUUUUUUUUAAUUUUUUUUAACAUUUAUUUAUUUUUGAGAGAUAGAGACAGUGUGAGCAGGGGAGAGGCAGAGAGAGAGAGGAAGACACAUUAUCCGAAGCAGGCUCCAGGCUCUGAGCUGUCAGCACAGAGCCUGAUGUGGGGCUCAAACCCAUGAACUGUGAGAUCAUGACCUGAGCCGAAGUCUGACUCUCAACCAACUGAGCCACCCAGGUGCCCCAAGGUAGUGUAUUCUGAUUGGUUUUCUUGGGUCAUGUGCUAGCCCUUCACCAGUCACCUUGUCUAGGUAGGGAGUGUAUUGUGGUUGGAUAUCCU